rnacentral:rRNA from 1 species
UGCAGUCGAACGGCAGCACGGGAGCAAUCCUGGUGGCGAGUGGCGAACGGGUGAGUAAUAUAUCGGAACGUGCCCAGUCGUGGGGGAUAACGCAGCGAAAGCUGUGCUAAUACCGCAUACGAUCUACGGAUGAAAGCGGGGGAUCGCAAGACCUCGCGCGAUUGGAGCGGCCGAUAUCAGAUUAGCUAGUUGGUGGGGUAAAAGCCUACCAAGGCAUCGAUCAGUAGCUGGUCUGAGAGGACGACCAGCCACACUGGGACUGAGACACGGCCCAGACUCCUACGGGAGGCAGCAGUGGGGAAUUUUGGACAAUGGGGGCAACCCUGAUCCAGCAAUGCCGCGUGAGUGAAGAAGGCCUUCGGGUUGUAAAGCUCUUUUGUCAGGGAAGAAACGGUGAAGGCUAAUAUCCUUUGCUAAUGACGGUACCUGAAGAAUAAGCACCGGCUAACUACGUGCCAGCAGCCGCGGUAAUACGUAGGGUGCAAGCGUUAAUCGGAAUUACUGGGCGUAAAGCGUGCGCAGGCGGUUAUGUAAGUCAGAUGUGAAAUCCCCGGGCUCAACCUGGGAAUGGCAUUUGAGACUGCAUGGCUAGAGUGUGUCAGAGGGGGGUAGAAUUCCACGUGUAGCAGUGAAAUGCGUAGAUAUGUGGAGGAAUACCGAUGG